UAGCGCUAAGGGCAAACCUGUCGAAAGGCAGGGACGCAAAGCCAAAGGGUCUACGGUGCUGUUCCACAGCACUAUGAUAGCCUGGCUGCCGCA
rnacentral:ncRNA from 1 species